UCUAGUAGGCUAUGUAAAUCUUGUGUCAAAUUUAGCAGAAAUGGCCUGAAAUAUAAUUUGUUCUCCAUAGCACAUGCACCCAGAAGCGUGAGACAAGCAAGCUCUAUUUCGAGUGCUGUGAACUGAAAUGCCGCGUUUACAUAUGAGCCCACCCUUCUCCUCCACCUUCCUGCUGCCCUCUCUCUGUAGUAUUGCCUGGAGCUGUAUGGCCAAGUUCAGUGCCAGGUCAAGGAGUGGGUGCAGGUGAGGUCUGUUCUUCAGGGGAUCCAUAUUCCUCCAGUUGGUGAAGGUGGGGCCUGUGGUUGCUCUUCCUCUGGUUGCAGAGAGAGGGAGUGGGAGGACAAGAAAAUCAGGAGCGUUGGAAGCUUGUAGACAAGUUGGCCUGGAGUAUGCAGUAGUGAACAGCAGGAGAGGCCUUUUCUCAAAACAAAGGUGAGGACCAACAUCUGUGGUUGUCCUUUUAUCUCCACACUCACACUGUGGCCUGAGGGUGCCUGCUCCCUCACACACAGGAACACACACAUAUAUACACACGUACAUGCGCACACACAGAUACUCAAUCCUCAUGAUAAUCUUGGGCUCACCUUUCUUGAACUGGUCCAGCAACUGCUUCUUAAGGAUGCAAUAGUCAAAGAGAUGCUGAACUCCGCUAUGGUGAUGAUUAAUAAAACUGACAAAAUUCCCUAAAAAUAAGAAGGAGAAAGAAAUCAUAUUUAGGACAGAAGCAGCAUCACUUUAAAAACAGAAGCCAAGAAUACCUAAGACCUUAUGACCAAGUUUGGGAAAACUUAUAUUCAUGCUGUUCUGUAGCUAUUAAACGUUGCAUCAUUUUCAUGUCUUUCUGCUAAGGAGUGGGUAACAAACUCCAAUAUCAGUUGGGCUAAGAUGGUCUCUAGAGUGAAACAAGGAGGGCACAGUAGAAUGUGGCAGCAUUCCUAUAAUCACCUGCCAUUUAAUUACAAAAACUUGUUUUGUUUCCUAUGUGAGAAUACAGUACCCCAAUGCCUGCUUUUUCCUGCCUGAAGGCAGCUGGGUAUGCACAUGUUUUGGAAGUGAAAGUCAGCUAUGUAUUCACCUAUGUGUCAAAGAAAACAAACCUACAAGAUGGAUCGAGUACCCAGAUUAACAUUUUGCAGGCGCUACUUUAAGGUAAUGUCUUCAUUGAGAGGCGGGAUGGUGCAGUGUGGUUUUCAAAAAGCUUAAAUACUGAAGGCAACAAAAGCUGGGUACAAUUGUGUGCAAGGUCACACUUACACUGGGAACAUGAGUAAAGCUCUCUGCCUCUCAGUGUCUUUUGAACACAUGCAGAAGCUUAGAUAACGGCCUGAAGUGUGUAAUCCCCUGUUGUGUUAAGUUCCACACUGUUUGCCUUCCAGCAGGAGAGAAUUGGCCCCAGUCCUUAUAAAACUUCCAUCAUAUGCACUUGAAUCAAGUACAACAGGAUUUUAUUUCCUAUAAUUGUUUUCUGACUGUUCUUAGGAACCCAAGUAUAAUUUGGGACUUUAUCUCAGCACACACAAGGAGGUCCUUUGGUUCACUUCAACAGAUGAUUACAGGAAUUAAAUCAAAGGAGAUAAUUUCCCAUGUUUCUACUUCACUUUUGUUCUUAUUGGUUCAAAUUUUCAAAUUCUAGGAUCCAAGUCUUCAAGAUGUUGCUAUCAGAAACAGAUUAAAAGUCCAGAGUUUUCUUUAGGGCCAGAGGAAAGGGCCCAUUGGCAUCUUUGACAUGAUUGAAAAUGAUGUUGGGGCUAGCAUGGUGACAGCACUUGGUAUCAAGCCUGACAGCCUUAUUUUAAGCCUCAGGAUCCUCAUGUUGAGAGGAGAUGAAGAACUCCUGUAAGCUGUUUUCGAAUGUUCACAUGAAAGCUAUGGCAUUGUGGACCACACAUACCUCAAGUAAAUAAAUGUAAAAAAUAAUUAAAAUAAUUAUAAUGUCAUGGAUUGCUUAUAUGAUAGACUCUUAAAAACCUUAAUUUUAAUCAGGAGCUGGAGAUAGUCAGAUAUUUUAAGCACUGGCUCUUUCCUGGAGGACCUGGCUUCACUUUCCAGAAUCCACACUGUAGCUAAUAAACAUCGGUAAUUUUAGUCCCAGAGCAUCUGGCACUAUAUCUUGGCUUCAGAGACUAGGCAUGCACAUGGUGCAUAGUCCCACAUUCAAGCAGCACACCCACACACAUACAAAAAUAAAUUAACAAAAACCACAUGUAUAAUCAUAUUCUCAUAAAUUAAUAUAUCGUUUACCCUACCAAGUAAAAAUUUACAAUUGUAGAAAAUGGCUUGUGUAUUUAAAAGAUUGAAAGUCCUCACUUUCUCACUCCAUAUUUUGUUUUAUACCAAUAGAGUAACUUUUUGAUUAGCAAAAGGUAAACUCUAAUACAAUUGAAGUAAUAAUAGUUAUAAUAUAGCUAUUGAGUAUUUAUAUUUUGUCAAGUAUUAUUUGAAGUAAUCCUUAUCACAGGUCAAUGAGGCAGCUUUUAUAUUAAUAUCUUAAAUUUUUACAAGAGAAAACAAACCAAGAUAUGGAGACUGUACAAUGUUACACCAAGAAUACAAGCUCCCCGGAGUUAUAAGUGGGAUUAAAAAUCAAGAGACUGUGGUUCUAGAAGCAGCUAUACAUGAGGUCAGGGGUAAAAAGCAACUCAUCACUGUGCCAUGGACGUAGCCUGGCUAAGGUUCCACAGACUCCUCUUCCAGAAUCAGGUCACUCACAAGGAGAAGCGUUCUGCCUACAACACACGUUCCUUCGAGGGAGGGCGCCUGACAGAAUUUGUGCUGCUGUGUAAAGCUGAUGAGGAUCAAGGCAAUCCCAGCUAAUGCAACCAGCGAGCUGAGGAUGUUCACGGUUGUGACUUUUUGUCUCUGGAAAAUAGAUAUAAGACAAGAUAAAGUAAAUAAAAACUAAAGAUAAAGAUACCUUGUAGGAAAUUCUCAGAACUUUUCUAGUUCUAGAGGCUGCAUCAGGUCCAUGGGAUUGGAAGGUUUGACAAAUUCUGUUCUGAUUGGUCAAAGUCAGAAGGCAAAGCAAACUGUAGAAUGAGCCAACAAUGCCCUGUGGCUAGCGAUCCUGAAAUGUCCAUCUCAACACAAACCAUCUUUCACAACCUGGAAGGACAUGGUGCCUUGGGAAGUAUCUCACCUUGGAAAUCGGACUUGAUUUUGAGUCCUGCUUUUAUUAGAACUUGUAGCAACUAUUUAAUCUGUCUGAGUCUCAAUUUCUACCUUUGAAAAUGAGAAUGACUUAACUGUAGUCAUUUAUUUUCUAAAGGUUUAGUGCAUAUACUGAAUAUGUAUCAUUACCACGUUAGGCCCCAGUCAUAUAAAGAUUCAUGUGGGAACUGACAGUUCACCAUCUGGCUCACUUACAUUGCCCAGGAAGAUUCAAACAAUGACCAACACAACUGUCUGGUUAAAGAUGGUAAAAUCUGGACUAGGGGUUAAAGUUGCCCUGGUCUUCGUGCUCCAACAUGGGAGGCAUAAAAAGCUGAUUGCUCACUUAGUUCCUUUUAAUUUUUAAAAUUAUUUUACUUAUCUUAUGAGAAUUUCAUUUGUGAAUAUUGUGUUUACCUCACCUCCCCCCAACUCCAGCUUCUCCCAUGUUCUGUCCCCUCACUCCUCAAAUUCAUGGCCUCUAAUUAUUAAUGAUUAUUUUUUACAUAUAUGUACAUAUAAAUUUAUAAUACAACCUACAGAGUUAAUUUAGUGUUGUUCAUUUGUAUGUUUCUCUAAGACUGAACACUUGGGAUUAGAUCACCUACGAGGUUUAUCCCUGGAACAAAUUGAUUGUCCCUAUCUUAGCAGUCACAGAUUAUAGUUCUUCAACUACUAGAUUGUAGUUCUGGGGUGAGGCCUCAUGAUAUUUCUCAUUCAUAUUAGCAUGUCAGUUGUUGUCAUCUUUCAGGUCUUAUUUAGGUAACCAUGAUGUUGAGAUCACGGUUUCAGAUUCCCUGUCAUAAUGGAAGAUGCAGUCUUACAGUAGAUGCUCUGGCCCUUACAGUCUUUCUUACACCCUGCGUGCUGUCCCCUGCGCCUCCAGUUGUACCGUAGAUAGAUCAGUUGGUGUUGGGCACCCUCUGCUUAAUUCCUUCUAUUCAUUCCCAGUACAUUUGAUGGGAAAGGUGGGCAUGUCUGAGUUUCUUACAAGAAAGCUGUGUUGUGGGCAUCAUAUUAUUUCCUUCAUAGUCAUUCUUAAUUUUUAGAGAGAAAGUGUCAUUCCGGAGUGUGUCUGCUGUCCCUCUGU